rnacentral:rRNA from 1 species
AUUUUUAAUUGAAAUCUGGAAUGAAUGGUUGGAUGAGAUAUAAACUUUUUUAAGUUAAUCUAUUGAAUUUUAUUUUUUAGUUAAAAAGCUAAAAUUCUAAAAUGGGACGAGAAGACCCUAUAGAAUUUUAUAAUUAAUUUUUAUAAAUAAUUUAUUUAAAUUAUAUUUAUAAAUAAUUAUUUAUUUUAUUGGGGAGAUAAUUAAAUUUAAUUAACUUUAAUUUUUAUAUUCAUUAAUAUAUGUAUAUAUGAUCCUAUUAUAUAGAUUAAAAAUAUAAAUUACCUUAGGGAUAACAGCAUAAUUUUUUUAAAAAGUUCUUAUUUUUAAUAAAGAUUAU